rnacentral:rRNA from 1 species
GAAUUUUGCGCAAUGGGCGAAAGCCUGACGCAGCAACGCCGCGUGGAGGAUGAAGGUCCUUGGAUUGUAAACUCCUGUCAGCAGGGAAGAAAUGCUCUGACCUCAUACGUCAGGGAGUUGACUGUACCUGCAGAGGAAGCCCCGGCUAACUCUGUGCCAGCAGCCGCGGUAAUACAGAGGGGGCAAGCGUUAUUCGGAAUUAUUGGGCGUAAAGGGCGCGUAGGCGGCAAGGCAAGUGGAAGGUGAAAUCCCUCGGCUCAACUGAGGAACUGCCUUCCAAACUGCUCUGCUUGAGUCCGGGAGAGGUGAGUGGAAUUCCCAGUGUAGCGGUGAAAUGCGUAGAUAUUGGGAGGAACACCAGUGGCGAAGGCGGCUCACUGGACCGGAACUGACGCUGAUGCGCGAAAGCGUGGGGAGCAAACGGG